AGAGUUUGAUCAUGGCUCAGAGUGAUCGCUGGCGGCGUGCUUAACACAUGCAAGUCGAGCGAAUUUCAGCAGCGUAUCGCUGGAGUUAGCGGCAGACGGGUGAGUAAUACUUGGGCAAUCUGCCCUUGAGUGGGAAACAACCUGACGAAAGUCGGGCUAAUGUCCCAUAAGACCACAGGAUGGCAUCAUCCAGGGGUCAAAGCUCCGCAAGGGGCGCUUGAGGAGGAGCCCGAGUCCUAUCAUGGUAGUUGGUGAGGUAACGGCUCACCAAGCCUUUGACGGGUAGCCGGCCUGAAAGGGUGAUCGGCCACACUGGCACUGAGACACGGGCCAGACUCCUACGGGAGGCAGCAGUGGGGAAUUUUGGACAAUGGGGGCAACCCUGAUCCAGCGACGCCGCGUGAAGGAUGAAGGUCUUCGGAUUGUAAACUUCUUUUGAUGGGGAUGAAUGCCUUGGUGAAUAGCCAAGGGUGACAGUACCCAUUGAAUAAGCCACGGCUAACUACGUGCCAGCAGCCGCGGUAAUACGUAGGUGGCAAGCGAUACUCGGAAUCACUAGGCGUAAAGCGCAGGUAGGCGGUUCGGUAAGUCUUUUGUGAAAGCUCCCGGCUUAACUGGGAGAGGUCAAGGGAAACUACCGGGCUAGAGUGUGGUAGGGGAUACUGGAAUUCCUGGUGUAGCGGUGAAAUGCGUAGAUAUCAGGAGGAAUACCUAUGGCGAAAGCAGGUAUCUGGGCCAUCACUGACGCUGAGCUGCGAAAGCUAGGGGAGCAAACAGGAUUAGAUACCCUAGUAGUCC
rnacentral:rRNA from 1 species